AUUAUAUAACAGGUCUGUAUUCGUUUGCCGUUAAUGAAAAAAGGAACGGAAUUUUUAUAAACCAACUACUGAGUUGUUAUAAAGUGAAGUUGUAAUGUUUGUAUAUGUGGAUAUAAUAAUUGUAAGCGUG